rnacentral:rRNA from 1 species
AGAAUCCCGUACGUGGCCGGCGGUCAAUUCCAUGUGAAACCCCUUCGACGAGUCGAGUUGUUUGGGAAUGCAGCUCAAAAUGGGUGGUAAAUUUCAUCUAAGGCUAAAUACCGGCCAGAGACCGAUAGCGCACAAGUAGAGUGAUCGAAAGAUGAAAAGCACUUUGGAAAGAGAGUUAAAAAGUACGUGAAAUUGUUGAAAGGGAAGCGCUUGCAACCAGACUUGUUCGCGGGUGAUCAACCUCCCUUCGCGGGGGGUGUACUCGCCCGCGAUCAGGCCAGCAUCGGUUUCGACGGGCGGAUAAAGGCCCCGGGAAUGUAGCUCCCUUCGGGGAGUGUUAUAGCCUGGAGUACCAUGCGCCCAGUCGGGACCGAGGACCGCGCUUCGGCUAGGAUGCUGGCGUAAUGGUUGUAAGCGACCCGUCUUGAAACACGGACCAAGGAGUCUAACAUCUAUGCGAGUGUUUGGGUGAUAAACCCAUGCGCGGAAUGAAAGUGAACGGAGGUGGGAGCCCUUUUCGGGGGGCGCACCAUCGACCGAUCCAGAUGUCUUCGGAUGGAUUUGAGUAGGAGCAUAGCUGUUGGGACCCGAAAGAUGGUGAACUAUGCCUGGAUAGGGUGAAGCCAGAGGAAACUCUGGUGGAGGCUCGCAGCGGUUCUGACGUGCAAAUCGAUCGUCAAAUCUGGGUAUAGGGGCGAAAGACUAAUCGAACCAUCUAGUGAAUGGCUACUAGAAACACUGUGUUGCAUUCGACAACGGGCCGUAGGUGCCCCAGUAGUCCCUCCAUUGCCGGGGGGGCCACAUCGCCGGUCUUCGGGAACACCUCUUUUUAAUUGGGGCAACCCGUACUGAGCUCCGGCUCAGUCACAGGCUAAGUGGUGGUGGCCGCAGGACAUCUCUGCGGUUAGGAUAUAGUCGGCGGGACCUUCAGCGAGGUACCCGGUUCGCGAGCUGGUUUCAGCCGAAGUUUCCCUCAGGAUAGCAGUAACGUUUUUAGUUUUUUUAGGUAAAGCGAAUGAUUAGAGGCCUUGGGGGUGAAACNNCCUUNNCUAUUCUCA